GAUGAACGCUGGCGGCGUGCCUAAUACAUGCAAGUCGAGCGAACAGACGAGGAGCUUGCUCCUCUGACGUUAGCGGCGGACGGGUGAGUAACACGUGGAUAACCUACCUAUAAGACUGGGAUAACUUCGGGAAACCGGAGCUAAUACCGGAUAAUAUAUUGAACCGCAUGGUUCAAAAGUGAAAGACGGUCUUGCUGUCACUUAUAGAUGGAUCCGCGCCGCAUUAGCUAGUUGGUAAGGUAACGGCUUACCAAGGCAACGAUGCCUAGCCGACCUGAGAGGGUGAUCGGCCACACUGGAACUGAGACACGGUCCAGACUCCUACGGGAGGCAGCAGUAGGGAAUCUUCCGCAAUGGGCGAAAGCCUGACGGAGCAACGCCGCGUGAGUGAUGAAGGUCUUCGGAUCGUAAAACUCUGUUAUUAGGGAAGAACAUAUGUGUAAGUAACUUUGCACAUCUUUACGGUACCUAAUCAGAAAGCCACGGCUAACUACGUG
rnacentral:rRNA from 1 species